UACGUAGGGGGCAAGCGUUGUCCGGAAUCAUUGGGCGUAAAGAGCGUGUAGGCGGCCUUAUAAGUCGGCUGUGAAAGUCAAGGGCUCAACCCUUGAAUGCCGGCCGAUACUGUGAGGCUAGAGUCCGGAAGAGGCGAGUGGAAUUCCUGGUGUAGCGGUGAAAUGCGCAGAUAUCAGGAAGAACACCCGUGGCGAAGGCGGCUCUCUGGUACGUGACUGACGCUGAGACGCGAAAGCGUGGGGAGCGAACAGG
rnacentral:rRNA from 1 species